rnacentral:rRNA from 1 species
GGAAACCGAGGCUAAGCCCGGAUAGGCUCCUUUUCCGCAUGGGAGAGGAGGGAAAGGGUGCGACCCGAUUACGGAGGGGCCUGCGGCGCAUUAGCUAGUUGGUGAGGUAACGGCCCACCAAGGCGAUGAUGCGUAGCCGACCUGAGAGGGUGACCGGCCACACUGGGACUGAGAGACGGCCCAGACUCCUACGGGAGGCAGCAGUAGGGAAUCUUCGGCAAUGGGCGAAAGCCUGACCGAGCAACGCCGCGUGAGUGAGGAAGCCCUUCGGGUUGUAAAACUCUGUUGUUUGGGAAGAAGGGAAAGGGUAGGCCCCUUAGGUGACGGUACCAAACGAGAAAGCCCCGGCUAACUACGUGCCAGCGGCCGCGGUAAUACGUAGGGGGCGAGCGUUGUCCGGAAUGAUUGGGCGUAAAGCGCGCGCAGGCGGUCCUUUAAGUCUGAUGUGAAAGCCCGCGGCUUAACCGCGGAAGGUCAUUGGAAACUGGGGGACUUGAGGCUAGGAGAGGGAAGUGGAAUUCCUGGUGUAGCGGUGAAAUGCGUAGAGAUCAGGAGGAAUACCGAUGGCGAAGGCAGCUUCCUGGCCUAGGGCUGACGCUGAGGCGCGAAAGCGUGGGGAGCAAACAGGAUUAGAUACCCUGGUAGUCCACGCCGUAAACGAUGAGUGCUAGGUGUGAGGGGUUUCAAGGCCCUUCGUGCCGCAGUACACACAAUAAGCACUCCGCCUGGGGAGUACGGUCGCAAGACUGAAACUCAAAGGAAUUGACGGGGGCCCGCACAAGCGGUGGAGCAU